ACGGGUGAGUAACGCGUGGGCAACCUGCCUCGGACUGGGGGAUAACACAGGGAAACUUGUGCUAAUACCGCAUAACAUCAUUUUGCGGCAUCACAUGAUGAUCAAAGGAGCAAUCCGGUUUGAGAUGGGCCCGCGUCCAAUUAGCUAGUUGGUGAUGUAACGGACCACCAAGGCGACGAUUGGUAGCCGAACUGAGAGGUUGAUCGGCCACAUUGGGACUGAGACACGGCCCAGACUCCUACGGGAGGCAGCAGUGGGGAAUAUUGCGCAAUGGGGGAAACCCUGACGCAGCAACGCCGCGUGAAGGAUGAAGGUUUUCGGAUUGUAAACUUCUUUGAUGAGGGACGAAGAAUGACGGUACCUCAAAAACAAGCCACGGCUAACUACGUGCCAGCAGCCGCGGUAAUACGUAGGUGGCGAGCGUUGUCCGGAAUUACUGGGUGUAAAGGGCGUGUAGGCGGGAAUGCAAGUCAGAUGUGAAAUGCCGGGGCUUAACUCCGGAGCUGCAUCUGAAACUGCGUUUCUUGAGUGCCGGAGAGGAAAGCGGAAUUCCCAGU
rnacentral:rRNA from 1 species